UCUGCCCAUUGGGAUGUGGAUAAAAAACUAUGCUUUAGGCAUAGUUGUGUAUAGAAUGUGUGGGAAUCACUCUGAUUUCACUAAGAAAUCCUUCUGUCCAGUUUUCCCUCAUCAAUGCUGUACCUUCCCUAGGGAUGAAUUGUGAGGCAGGACUUGAUGGACAUUUUGGGGGACCGCCCUUCAGCAAGUUCUUCACAGGUAGUGUGGCUUCUCUCUUUACAAGGUGGGGAGCUUUAUACCUUUGCUCUCAGCUGUAGUCAGAAAACAAUAGAACUGGAGGCAAUAUGAUUAGUUAUCUUUUAACAUCUGUGUGCACAGAGAAAGAGUACUGUAUGGUCUCUCCACAGCCUGGACUCUCCCUUUGGACCUGGAUCUCCCAAGGUUAGAGACUAACAUUUUCAUCUUUAUUUCUGUCUGCCAAUGAUGCUGAUGCCAAACUGAAUUUCAGGAAGUGCACCAGGAGGGAGGGUACAAGAAGACUGGGCAAUUAUGGAGUGGCUGAGGAAAGAAGGGACCGGAGGAGGAGAGAGAAGACUUGGGUGCAAUGCUGAGCUGAAUGGAGAAGAACCUGAGAUGGAAAGACAGAGCGAAGAGGACAUCUGGGAGGGAAAGGAGAUGCUCCAAAGCAGGUUGAACCCACAUCCAUCUCGGUUCAGGAUCCUCAGACUUCACAGUGCGGAUACCCAGACUUACCUCUGGGUUCCUACUCCUUGGAACCUCUGCUGACCUCCCUCCCGGCUCCUCUAAGUCUUCUGGGGCAAAUGGUGUUCUCCCCUACUCACACCACCACACUGUCUACAUGAUCUCCAGCUCCCCAUGAGCCCAUGAGCCCUGGAGAAAUGGGAUUGAGUGUCUUAUACCCAUAUCACCAGUAAUUUACACAAUGCUUGACACAGAACAGAUGGUUAAAAAAAUGUGGGUAGAUGAAUAACAACACAUGGAUGAAUUAAAAAAAUUAAUUGAUAAAGCCAGAUCUGGUUCAUUUACCAUUUGCUGCCCUGGUAGUUUAGGAAAAGUCUAUUUACUACUCUUCUGGCUAUUUUACUCAUCUUCAUAUGUGGAAAGUGUUAACACCCUGUUAAAAAGGUAAACUGAGGCAGCUGGGCGGGGUGGCUCACGCCUGUAAUUCCAGCACUUUGGGAGGCCGAGGUGGGCAGAUCAUGAGGUCAAGAGAUCAAGACCAUCCUGGCCAACACGGUGUAUUUUUAGUACAGACAAUAAGUCAUUAUUGUGGCUCCAAGGCACUAAGUUUUGGGGUAAUCUGUGAAUAGCAGUAGAUAACUAAUUUAGCCACCUCUGGCAAAUUAGUUACCCUUUUCUGCCUCCGUUUUCUAAUUCUCUACAAAGUCUGCUCUUGAACAUCAACAGGUGAAAUGAAAAAGGUAACAGAUGUAAAGGGUCUUCUGCAUAGUGUGUGGUGUGUGAAAGGGUCUGUACUAAAUUUUAAUUAGACAGGAAGAAUAAGUUCAAGAGAUCUACUUCACAUUAUAGUGACUAUAGUUAAUACCAAUAUAUUGUAAACUUGAAAAUUGCUCACAUAAUAGAUUUUAAGUGUUUCAACCACACACACAAAAAUCAGCUGGGCGCGAUGGCUCACAUUUGCAAUCCCAACACUUUGGGAGGCUGAGGUGGGAGGAUCGUUUGAGCCCAGGAAUUUGAGGCCACAGCGAGGCAUGAUUGCACUGCUGCACUCCAGCCCAG
rnacentral:lncRNA from 1 species